UUAAAUCUAAUUAACAUUAAAUCUCAAAUACUACGCCAUUAUGUCAUGGUUUAAAAAUAAAUUAAAAGAGACAAAACAACUAAAAGAAAUAACCAUCAUUUCAGGAAAGGAGCAGGCAGAAAAUUACUUCACUGAAAGCCCAAACACUUGUUUAUUUCCUAUAUUUGUGUAACAACUAGACAAGGUAACAAGUUUACCUACAGAAUUUGCGAAAGCUGGGUUACAAGUUAAAACACAAAAGCCACACACAAAGGGCAACUCUCCUACCUAGAACCAGCAGUCCCAAACCACGGGACUCAGAACCAUACCAGAUCAUUUUUCUCUUGUUUCUGACCUAGAAGUCUCCACAAAACAUAUGGUGUGCCACAAGAUGACUUGGAAUGCUUCUAUAAGCCAUUGGCCCAAAAUGCUUGGGAGAUUGAAGACCUCACACAGGAACACCUCAUUAAAAUUCAUUUUUCAGAGUUCAGACAACAGCUUCAGGCAGCCAGCUUU